rnacentral:rRNA from 1 species
GAUGAACGCUGGCGGCGUGCCUAAUACAUGCAAGUCGAGCGAACAGACGAGGAGCUUGCUCCUCUGACGUUAGCGGCGGACGGGUGAGUAACACGUGGAUAACCUACCUAUAAGACUGGGAUAACUUCGGGAAACCGGAGCUAAUACCGGAUAAUAUAUUGAACCGCAUGGUUCAAUAGUGAAAGACGGUUUUGCUGUCACUUAUAGAUGGAUCCGCGCCGCAUUAGCUAGUUGGUAAGGUAACGGCUUACCAAGGCGACGAUGCGUAGCCGACCUGAGAGGGUGAUCGGCCACAGUGGAACUGAGACACGGUCCAGACUCCUACGGGAGGCAGCAGUAGGGAAUCUUCCGCAAUGGGCGAAAGCCUGACGGAGCAACGCCGCGUGAGUGAUGAAGGUCUUCGGAUCGUAAAACUCUGUUAUUAGGGAAGAACAAAUGUGCAAGUAACUAUGCGCGUCUUGACGGUACCUAAUCAGAAAGCCACGGCUAACUACGU